rnacentral:lncRNA from 1 species
CAAGCGUCUCUUCUCGUCCGAAGAGCAGCUACUGCAUGUGAAUCCCAGCAGACCGAUGAGGGUUGAAACGGACGCCUCAGACAGAGCCGUGGGAGCAGUACUGUUGCAGCAAGACCCGCAUGGGGACUGGAGACCGUGUGCCUUCUACUCCAGGAAGCUCAGCAAGUCAGAGCAGAACUACACCAUCUGGGACAGGGAGUUGCUGGCCAUUCAUGCAGCAUUCAAGGCGUGGCGGCACUUCCUCAUUGGAGCCAAACACACAGUGCAGGUCCGCACGGACCAUAAAAACCUGGAGUACUGGCGCACGGCAAGGUUCCUGAACCAGAGGCACAUACGAUGGGCGGAGUUCUUUGCGGAUUUCGACUUCAGGAUAGAGUACAUCCCAGGCGACAACAACAUCAUGGCGGAUGCACUGUCCAGAAAGCCGCAAUACCUCGAGGAGGCGGCACCAGCAGCGGCCAAGCACAUUUUCGCACCGAAAGCGUGGGCGUGCGCUUCAGCAACCGUGGACCUGGAUGCUGUACGUCGAGCACUGCAGGAGGACCCCUUCGCGCAAGCAAAGAUGGCAGAGGUGCAAAGGGGCACGGCGGAGGACGACGAGUUCCAGAUACGCGACGGAUUGCUCAUCCGCAGAGGGGCCCUCUACGUACCGGGAGACGACCUCCGCGCGAAAGUACUGCAGCAGUUGCACGACGCACCCACCGCCGGGCACUUUGGCAAAGAGAAGACGGUAGAAUUAGUAGCCAGAGAUUUUUGGUGGCCCAAGAUGCGGGGGGAAGUCGCGGAUUACGUCUCGAGGUGCGACACCUGCCAAAGGGCCAAGUCAGUGCACAAACCGCCGGCGGGACUGCUCGACCCGCUGCAGACACCGCUCGAACCGUGGGAGAGGGUGGCCCUGGACUUUGUCACGGAUCUACCCAGCUCGAGGGGCAAGACGGCAGUGCUAGUGGUGGUGGACAUGUUCACCAAAAUGGCCCACUUCAUUCCGUGCGCGAAGGUGGCCACGGCGGAACAGACCGCCAAACUGUUCAUAGACCACGUGUUCAGGGUUCACGGUCUGCCACGGUCUAUCCUGUCCGACCGGGGGCGACAGUUCAUCUCGAACUUCUGGCAGAAGCUGAUGGGUUUCCUGAACGUCAAGAUCAACCUAGCGUCGGCGAGACACCCGCAGACGAACGGACAAGCGGAGCGAGUCAACGCCAUCAUGCAGCAGUACCUGCGAUGCUACGCAAAUCAGCAGCCGGCAACAUGGGUGGACUACCUGCCGCUCGCUGAGUUCGCCUACAACAACACGAAGCACGUGUCCACGGGGGUGACACCGUUCUUCGCCAACAACGGGAGGCAUCCCAGAACCUUCCCGGGAUUAGCGAGAGCGGGGGAGGGGGAGCCACAGGCAGCGGAAGCCUUAGCAUCAGAGUUGCAGGAGGUUCACGAACAGCUUCGGAGGCAGUUAGAACUAGCAAAGCACGCAUACAAACUGCAGGCUGACAAGCACAGAAGGGUUGGGGAAGACAUACAGGUGGGAGACUGGGUUUGGUUAGCAGCCCAGGCAGUGCCGGCCAGAUCGUUAGCGAAGAAGAAGCUAGGGCAUAAGCAGCUAGGACCCUACCAAGUCGAGGCACAGGUCAAUCCAGUGGCCUUCCGGUUGACACUGCCGGAGGGAUCCAGAAUGCACCCAGUUUUCCAUAGAUCAGUGCUCACGCCCUACAAAGCACCUCAUAGAUUUCAGGAGCCAGGAACGGCACCAGACCCGUUCAGGGAAACGCCCACAAGGGGGGGGUCGCCAAGGCGGGAACCCGUCAACGAAGUCACAGAGAUUUUAGACUCGAGAUGGGGGGAAGAGGGAGUAGAAUAUCUUCUCGCCAGAGAAGGUACCCCGGCCAGCGCCAACAGUUGGGUGCCAGACCAUGCCUUGGACGAACCUUUUCUCAAGGACGAGUUUCAUGCCCUUUUCCCACACAGGCCCAUGCCAGCCGAGUAUUUCGACGACUGGCUUUUCACACCCACAUUUUCAGCUAGCACAUUCCAGGGGUUCACCUCGGACGAGGAACCGGCACUAGAAACACGUUCACGGAGGGAUCACCCUCGGGGUCUGCCUCAGACCGUUCCUAUUGGUGGGACAAUCAACCAGAGGAGCAGUGGCGCAGGAAGUGGUUGGGGGGUCCUUGGCAGGCAACGUCCCCGGAGGAGACCGGGGAGAGACGGACAUGGACGUGUUGGGGGAGGACCUUGGGUUCGAGCACGGCGGCAAAGAGAUGGAAGCAGAGGAAAUUGAGGUCGGCGAGAGCACGGAGGACGAGCCGGACUUAUCCGGCUGGAUGCACGCCACGGGGGACGAACUGUAUCCGGCACUCACCCCCACAACGACGGAGCACCCAGUACCCACACCUGAAGGUGGGGUGGGGGUAAGGGGGGGCUUCGAGGGGGGUAUGGAUGUCAGGGGUUCAGGAGCAGAGGCACAGGAAAGGGAGGAAAUAGAGAGCGAGGGGGAGGAGUCCGAAGGAAAUGUUAGCGAUGACAGCGGUCCGAGGUCUCUGAGUCUUUCCAGCGAAUCGGAAGAUUCACAGAAAGGGGCUCCCUUGGUCAGAGCAAGGGGGUGCCGAGGGGACACCCCAGGAAGAAGGGGCCAGAGGGGACUCAGAGAGCAGCAGUUGGAAAUCAGGACCAGCGUCCACACCAGAGUGCAGUAGGGGGGAGGAGUCCCAGGCAUCGGGAUCAGGCGGCGCACUGCCAGUGGGAGGACAUGAGUCAGGAUUGGCCACGCCUCCAUCGGGGAGCGAGGAAACGGUCGAGAGGAAGGUUGAAGGCUGGGCGCGCGCGCCAAGUUCAAAUGUACAGGAGGGCGGCGCAGUUGGCAGCCCGGAUAGGGAGCCAGGUCCCAAAGCCCGCCGAAAAGAGGGGGAGGAGUCAGGGGGUCAGCGUCAGAAGAAUCCAGGAAGGAAGGGACCCCGGGGGGUAGCAGGACCCAGAGGAGAAAGGAGAGACGUAAGAGGUGGAGUAAGGCUAGAAUCUUAAACUGGUGUACAGGGGCGGAGACUCAGAUGGAGCUUCGCCGAUCUAACCCCUAGACGUAGAGCUGGGGCGCUCCGGCUUGAAAAUGGAAACUGUACUUCAAUAAAGACUUUUGUACAUUACUGCCGGCUAGCGUUGGUCCUCUGUGAGCUGGGACCUGGAGCCAGCUCUGACAGUGU